AGGAGAGCGCGCCUGCGCGAGCUAGAGUGGCCAAAGGUAGUGGAGGGCUCAGAGGCCAGCCCUCCAUUUCUCCUGGUUAGCACUACUCUCAGCCUCCAGCCUCUUCUCAUUCCUCACCACAGUGCUCAGGAAUUGAAACCCCCAAAGCAAGAGGAACCACGUGACCAAGAAACGUGUUUCCUAAGGAAAAAACAGACCUCCAUGCUGAGAAGCCCUCACAGAAUCACAGGACACGUUCUGCUCAUAGGAACUCUUGCUAUCUCUUCACUUGCACAUCUCUGUUAGCAGUGACGCUUUUAUACUUUUUGAGACGGAUUGCACAAGGAACUUUUCCUGGCCUUGUCCUGAAGUCAGCCAUUUCUCCAAGGAGUCCAGUUUCUAUGCUGUUGAGAUUGGUACUAAGUAAGACUGGAUUUCUCAAUAUCUACUUCAUUACUAUAAUCCUAUUACUUGGGAUAUGGAUUUUAACCAGUGUUAAGAUAGAGACAUUCUUGUAAAAACUAAAAUACUUAACAUAGUAAUUUAUUCAAAGUUGUGGAAAUACUUCUAUGACUGCUGAAUUUGUAGGAAUAAGAAGCUGAAAGAAUGAGAGUUCUGGAUACCUGGCAAGAAAGAAGUAAGAGAUUCCUUGGAUGAAGAAAUAAACCCAUUAGCAA
ensembl:processed_transcript RIKEN cDNA 9530080O11 gene